rnacentral:rRNA from 1 species
GAUUGCCCUAGUAACGGCGAGUGAAGCGGCAACAGCUCAAAUUUGAAAGCUAGCCUUCGGGUUCGCAUUGUAAUUUGUAGAGGAUGCUUUGGGUAAAACGCCAGUCUAAGUUCCUUGGAACAGGACGUCAUAGAGGGUGAGAAUCCCGUAUGUGACUGGAAAUGUUAACCUAUGUAAAGCUCCUUCGACGAGUCGAGUUGUUUGGGAAUGCAGCUCUAAAUGGGAGGUAAAUUUCUUCUAAAGCUAAAUAUUGGCGAGAGACCGAUAGCGCACAAGUAGAGUGAUCGAAAGAUGAAAAGCACUUUGGAAAGAGAGUUAAAAAGCACGUGAAAUUGUUGAAAGGGAAGCGCUUGCAAUCAGACUUGUUUAAGCUGUUCGGCCGGUCUUCUGACCGGUUUACUCAGUUUGGACAGGCCAGCAUCAGUUUCGGCGGCCGGAUAAAGGCUCUGGGAAUGUGGCCUCCACUUCGGUGGAGGUGUUAUAGCCCAGUGUGUAAUACGGCCAGCCGGGACUGAGGUCCGCGCUUCGGCUAGGAUGCUGGCGUAAUGGUUGUAAGCGACCCGUCUUGA